UUAGUACUUUCUCCAUCUCAUAUUAAGUGACUUUCUAUUACAUGUAUCUAGACACUUUUUAGACAUAGAUACAUCCAUAUUUAAGCAAAUUGGAGUCACUUAAUAUGGGACGGAGGGAGUAAUAA
rnacentral:pre_miRNA from 1 species